UACAGAGGGGGCAAGCGUUGUUCGGAAUUACUGGGCGUAAAGGGCGCGUAGGCGGCCCGCUAAGUCGAACGUGAAAUCCCCGAGCUCAACUCGGGAACUGCGUCCGAUACUGGUGGGCUUGAAUCCGGGAGAGGGAUGCGGAAUUCCAGGUGUAGCGGUGAGAUGCGUAGAUAUCUGGAGGAACACCGGUGGCGAAGGCGGCAUCCUGGACCGGUAUUGACACUGAGGCGCGAAAGCCAGGGGAGCAAACGGG
rnacentral:rRNA from 1 species